GACAGAGGCCUCGAGCGUUAUCCGGAAUUAUUGGGCCUAAAGCAUCCGUAGCCGGUUUUACAAGUCCUCCGUUAAAUCCAGCUGCUUAACAGAUGGGCUGCGGAGGAUACUAUAAGACUAGGAGGCAGGAGAGGCAAGCGGUACUCAGUGGGUAGGGGUAAAAUCCGUUGAUCCAUUGAAGACCACCAGUGGCGAAGGCGGCUUGCCAGAAUGCGCUCGACGGUGAAGGAUGAAAGCUGGGGGAGCAAACCGG
rnacentral:rRNA from 1 species